UAACACGUAGGGAGCAAGCGUUGUCCGGAUUUAUUGGGCGUAAAGAGCUCGUAGGCGGUUCGAUAAGUCAGGUGUGAAAACUCUGGGCUCAACUCAGAGACGCCACUUGAUACUGUCGUGACUUGAAUCUGGUAGGGGAGUGUGGAAUUCCCGGUGUAGCGGUGAAAUGCGCAGAUAUCGGGAGGAACACCAGUGGCGAAGGCGGCACUCUGGGCCAGUAUUGACGCUGAGGAGCGAAAGCGUGGGGAGCGAACAGGAUUAGAUACCCUGGUAGUCCACGCCGUAAACGUUGGGCACUAGGUGUGGGUUCCAACCAACGGAAUCCGUGCCGCAGCUAACGCAUUAAGUGCCCCGCCUGGGGAGUACGGCCGCAAGGCUA
rnacentral:rRNA from 1 species